AUGCGUUAACAAACAAGACUACCAUCCUUAAACUACAAGGACGUAAUUUUAAUCGGACUGGAAGGGCACCUCCUUAUGUUUAAGCGACGUGCCAACAGAGAGAAGGGUGUUAGUGAAUUGGAAGCUGUAACAAGAGGCAAGGGACCAAUCACCAGCCUAACAGUGGUUGAAGACUGUUGUCUAAUGAGAGCCUUGAAACUAGGGAGCAGUGCCUACAAGACAAUUUGACCUGGCUUCAACUUCUCUAGAAGAAAAUCAGUAAAAUACUAUUAUUAUACAGUGAUUUGAAACCAGGAUUUUAAAUACUUAGUGUUGGUUUCUUAAUGACAACAUGAUAACAGUGAAUUCCAUCCUCUUUGAUGUGAAGACAAAGUAUCCAUGACAACCAAGACAGCAUUGUAACCAUAGCAACUGUUGCCAAGGCAUCACCAUGACAUUCCAGUGGCAAAAGUUGUCCCCUUCCGAGUUUCAUCAACUCCAGGAGUAUUCUUCAUAUUCUUCCAAAAACCUCAAAGAUACCCUGAAAGAGUUUGAAGGUGACGGGAUCCUUUCCCAGUACAGCAAGGAUGAGGCAAGUGA